CAGGCUUAACACAUGCAAGUCGAGGGGUAUUUAUCUUCGGAUAGAGAGACCGGCGCACGGGUGCGUAACGCGUAUGCAAUCUACCUUUUACAGAGGGAUAGCCCAGAGAAAUUUGGAUUAAUACCUCAUAGUAUAUAGACUCGGCAUCGAGAUUAUAUUAAAGUCACAACGGUAAAAGAUGAGCAUGCGUCCCAUUAGCUAGUUGGUAAGGUAACGGCUUACCAAGGCUACGAUGGGUAGGGGUCCUGAGAGGGAGAUCCCCCACACUGGUACUGAGACACGGACCAGACUCCUACGGGAGGCAGCAGUGAGGAAUAUUGGACAAUGGGCGCAAGCCUGAUCCAGCCAUGCCGCGUGCAGGAUGACGGUCCUAUGGAUUGUAAACUGCUUUUAUACGAGAAGAAACAUCCCGACGUGUCGGGACUUGACGGUAUCGUAAGAAUAAGGAUCGGCUAACUCCGUGCCAGCAGCCGCGGUAAUACGGAGGAUCCAAGCGUUAUCCGGAAUCAUUGGGUUUAAAGGGUCCGUAGGCGGUUUAAUAAGUCAGUGGUGAAAGCCCAUCGCUCAACGGUGGAACGGCCAUUGAUACUGUUAGACUUGAAUUAUUAGGAAGUAACUAGAAUAUGUAGUGUAGCGGUGAAAUGCUUAGAGAUUACAUGGAAUACCAAUUGCGAAGGCAGGUUACUACUAAUUGAUUGACGCUGAUGGACGAAAGCGUGGGUAGCGAACAGGAUUAGAUACCCUGGUAGUCCACGCCGUAAACGAUGGAUACUAGCUGUU
rnacentral:rRNA from 1 species